GACUAGUGCAGUCUUGAAGAGCUGCGUGAGUGAGAGCAAGCAAGAGAGAAGAGAAAAAUAGAGAGAGUAAGAGAAAAUACACAGUGAGGAAGAGAGCAGUGAGUGAAAAGAAAAAGAGAUUUUUUUUUUUACUCAAGUUGUAUCUCUAAGUGUUGUAAUCUCUAUUUUAUAUAGUGAAAUUAUUCAGAGUUUGUCCCGUGGUUUUUCCCUUCAAGGAGAAAGGGUUUCUACGUAAA